rnacentral:misc_RNA from 1 species
GCAAACUUGGUCAUUUAGAGGAAGUAAAAGUCGUAACAAGGUCUCCGUUGGUGAACCAGCGGAGGGAUCAUUACAGAGUCCCCGGACUCCCCAAACCACCUGUGAACCUUACCCCAGUUGCCUCGGCGGCACGUCCCGGGAAGCGCCCCCAGCGGCGCCCCCCCGGAGGCCAGGCGCCCGCCGGGAGACCCCUAGAACCUGUCUUAUAGCGGACUUCUGAGUACUAGCGAGAAUAGCCUAAAACUUUCAGCAACGGAUCUCUUGGCUCUGGCAUCGAUGAAGAACGCAGC